CGGCGGACGGGUGAGUAAUGCCUAGGAAUCUGCCUGGUAUGGGGGACAACGUUUCGAAAGGAACGCUAAUACCGCAUACGUCCUACGGGAGGAAGCAGGGGACCUUCGGGCCUUGCGCUAUCAGAUGAGCCUAGGUCGGAUUAGCUAGUUGGUGAGGUAAUGGCUCACCAAGGCGACGAUCCGUAACUGGUCUGAGAGGAUGAUCAGUCACACUGGAACUGAGACACGGUCCAGACUCCUACGGGAGGCAGCAGCC
rnacentral:rRNA from 1 species